CGGCAACAGCUCAAAUUUGAAAUCUGGCUUUCGGGCCCGAGUUGUAAUUUGUAGAAGAUGCUUUGGGUAUGGCCCCGGUUUAAGUUCGUUGGAACACGACGUCAUAGAGGGUGAGAAUCCCGUAUGUGACUGGGUGCUUUUGCCUAUGUAAAGCUCUUUCGAC
rnacentral:rRNA from 1 species